rnacentral:rRNA from 1 species
AUGCCCUCCAUCAACUGCCUCCUCCGGCUCUCCAGGUCGGACUAUGGCUCCGUCGCCUCCCUCAACAGGGACUUCAACUCCCUGGUGCGCAACGGGGAGAUCUACCGCCUGCGGCGGCAGAAUGGCAUCGCCGAGCAUUGGGUCUACUUCUCCUGCAAUGUCCUGGAGUGGGACGCCUAUGACCCCUACAGGGAGCGCUGGAUCCAGGUGCCCAAGAUGCCACCGGAUGAAUGCUUCAUGUGCUCUGACAAGGAGUCCCUGGCUGUGGGCACCGAGCUGCUUGUGUUUGGGAUGGCACACAUUGUGUUCAGAUAUAGCAUCCUGACCAAUUCAUGGACAAGGGCUGAUCCCAUGAACUCUCCCCGGUGCUUGUUUGGAUCAACAAGCGUCGGUGAAAAGGCGUAUGUCGCUGGAGGCACCGAUGCUUCUGGAAAGAUACUGAGCUCUGCCGAGAUGUAUGAUUCUGUGACACACACUUGGACACCCCUUCCCAGCAUGAAUAGAGCUAGGAAGAUGUGUUCUGGUGUGUUCUUGGAUGGCAAGUUCUAUGUGAUUGGUGGUGUUACCAACAACAACCAGGUACUGACAUGUGGUGAGGAAUAUGACUUGAAUCGGGGGUCAUGGAGGGUCAUUGAGAACAUGUCUGAGGGCCUCAAUGGAGUGACAGGUGCUCCUCCACUCAUUGCAGUUGUCAACAAUCAGCUCUAUGCAGCUGAUUACAGUGAGAAGGAUGUGAAGAAGUAUGACAAGCUGAAUAAUAAGUGGAUCGCUCUUGGGAAAUUGCCUGAACGGUCUGUGUCGAUGAAUGGCUGGGGCCUUGCUUUCCGAGCCUGUGGUGACCGGCUGAUUGUCAUCGGAGGCCCAAGGACUUCUAUUGGUGGCAUCAUUGAGCUUAAUUCCUGGGUUCCCGAUGAGCAACCGCCUGUGUGGAAUUUGGUUGCCACACGGCAAUCCGGGAACUUCGUGUAUAACUGCGCCGUGAUGGGUUGCUGA